GAUGAAGAACGUAGCGAAAUGCGAUAAGUAAUGUGAAUUGCAGAAUUCAGUGAAUCAUCGAAUCUUUGAACGCACAUUGCGCCCCCUGGUAUUCCGGGGGGCAUGCCUGUCCGAGCGUCAUUACAACCCUCAAGCUCAGCUUGGUGUUGGGCCCCGCCGCCCCGGCGGGCCCUAAAGUCAGUGGCGGUGCCGUCCGGCUCCGAGCGUAGUAAUUCUUCUCGCUCUGGAGGUCCGGUCGUGUGCUCGCCAGCAACCCCCAAUUUUUUUCAGGUUGACCUCGGAUCAGGUAGGGAUACCCGCUGAACUUAAGCAUAUCAAUAAACGGAGGA
rnacentral:misc_RNA from 1 species